GUAGCUCAGCACUCAGCAGUUCUGAUUUGGCAUGGCAGCAGACAGUCACAGACCCUGAUGCCUCCACUGGUGAUGGAGAGUCCACUGAACCUAUAGUAGAGGAGGAUAAUCAUAAUAAGUCAGGUACAGGUUCUUCAGGAUAGGCACAGGUAUAAUCUGGAAGUGUCCAAGUGCAGGAAGUAUGCCCACAUCUCAGGCAUCUCUACAACACUCUAAAAAACGUCCUAUUUUUCUC